rnacentral:rRNA from 1 species
CGACCGGCGCACGGGUGCGUAACGCGUAUCCAACCUUCCCGUACUCAGGGAUAGCCUUCCGAAAGGGAGAUUAAUACCUGAUGGUGUUCAAAUUUCGCAUGUUAUUUGAACUAAAGAUUUAUCGGUAACGGAUGGGGGAUGCGUGACAUUAGGUAGAUGGCGGGUAACGGCCCACCAUGCCUACGAUGUCUAGGGGUUCUGAGAGGAAGGUCCCCCACACUGGAACUGAGACACGGUCCAGACUCCUACGGGAGGCAGCAGUGAGGAAUAUUGGUCAAUGGUCGGAAGACUGAACCAGCCAAGUAGCGUGAAGGAUGAAGGUUCUAUGGAUUGUAAACUUCUUUUAUACGGGAAUAAAACCACCUACGUGUAGGUGCUUGUAUGUACCGUAUGAAUAAGCAUCGGCUAACUCCGUG